rnacentral:rRNA from 1 species
UAGGUGUAUCGCGUGACACGAGUCACCGAGGUGCCGAAGAGAAAUCGUGAAACGUACCGCCUGGGAAGUACGGUCGCAAGGCUGAAACUUAAAGGAAUUGGCGGGGGAGCACCACAACGGGGUGGAGCCUGCGGGUUUAAUCUGGAUUCAACGCCCGGGAAAACUCUACCAGGAUAACGACAGCCUGAAAUUGAUAGGUCCGGGGGCUGAAGAACUCUUACCUUGGACUUAAG